rnacentral:piRNA from 1 species
UUCUAGUGGUCAUUAUGCCCUGGGCAUGUU